rfam:Schistosoma haematobium scaffold1039_2, whole genome shotgun sequence.
AUCCAGCUGACGAGUCCCAAAUAGGACGAAACGCUAGCCACUAUCCAUCAU